rnacentral:rRNA from 1 species
CAGCAGCCGCGGUAAUACGAAGGGUGCAAGCGUUAAUCGGAAUUACUGGGCGUAAAGCGUGCGUAGGCGGUUUGUUAAGUCUGCUGUGAAAUCCCCGGGCUCAACCUGGGAAUGGCAGUGGAUACUGGCAAGCUAGAGUGUGUCAGAGGAUGGUGGAAUUCCCGGUGUAGCGGUGAAAUGCGUAGAGAUCGGGAGGAACAUCAGUGGCGAAGGCGGCCAUCUGGGACAACACUGACGCUGAGGCACGAAAGCGUGGGGAGCAAACAGGAUUAGAUACCCGUGUAGUCCCUGUCUCUUAUAC